rnacentral:rRNA from 1 species
AGAGGGUGCGAGCGUUAAUCGGAAUUACUGGGCGUAAAGCGCACGUAGGCGGCUUGGCAUGUCGGGUGUGAAAUCCCCGGGCCUAACCUGGGAACUGCAUUUGUGACUGCAUGGCUAGAGUCUGUCAGAGGGGGGUGGAAUUCCACGUGUAGCAGUGAAAUGCGUAGAGAUGUGGAAGAACACCGAUGGCGAAGGCAGCCCCCUGGGAUGAGACUGACGCUCAUGCACGAAAGCGUGGGGAGCAAACAGGAUUAGAUACCCUGGUAGUCCACGCCCUAAACGAUGUCUACUAGUUGUCGGAGGGUAACUCCUUCGGUAACGCAGCUAACGCGUGAAGUAGACCGCCUGGGGAGUACGGUCGCAAGAUUA